UACCUCGAAAAUAAGCCACUAGAUGCGUAGGGUCAACAGCCAACUUAAGCCGUAACCGCGAUGCUGAUAAGAAAGACGGCACUGAGAAUCUUACGCCAACCCUGCGACGCAUCACCAUAAGAACGAAAUAUUUCAGUUGAUAGAUAGUGAGCAAUCGCCGCAGUCUUGUUGCUCACUCCAGCUUUGUCAGUGAAAGUAUUUCCCACUCAACUAUGAAGUUGAUCAUAGCAUCGAUCAUAGUUUUGAUCAUUUUGUACAAAUGCCUGAAAAUUGACGCCGCAACGGAAGGAUUUCCCAUCCCGGACUCGGAGCGGCAGUUCGAGUUAAUACGAUCGAAACUCAGAGGAAGAACGGAAGAAAAGUGAAAUGCGAACGAAGUGGCGUGCUUGUGAGAUGAUGAUUGACAGCUGUGAACGCCUCGUAAAGCUCACGCAAACUUGACAUACAUUCCAUAAUAAUCAGUAAUAUAUUUAUUGCACUCAUCUUAAAAUGCAUCCUAUCUUGAAGAGUUUAAUGUUCAUAUAUGAGACCAAGAAUGGAAACUUGUAAACAAUUCUGUGUCAGUUAAGUAGUUCUAUGUUAGGAAUAAAGUAUAUGAGUGUUUAAAGUCUGAA